rnacentral:lncRNA from 10 species
GAACUUAUCCCCUGUGGAUAAGGGAGCGGGAGGGCUACUGUCAUCCCUUUUCAGGAAUCAGUUGCAGAAGAGAUGUCUCUAGAACUCCUCCCACCAAGGUGAAGCUCCACCAAAAGCACCAAGAACCAUAAUACUGGGUGUUCUGGUCAAAUCAAGAGGAGAUCAAAUGUCUAGGCCUUCACUUUCAGCAGCUGGAACUGAGUUGAAAAAGAGAGACUGCCCUCUGAAGCGAAAUCACAAAACAAAGGUGAAAGGAGAAGGCCAUCAACAAAAGAAAAAGAGAAGCUGAAUUUAUUAUCUUUUUGUUUUUCUCCCUGAGGCAAUGGAAACAGAUAGCAGAGGCGUGGCUCUCCAGGCGACUUCUGUGCUUGCCUGGUCAGCACAUACAGGGCAUUCUUCCUAGCUUCCAGCCUGCUCUGCAGAGUCCUCCCCUCCUUCCUUCCUCCCAACCUCCCUCCCUUGCUCUCUUCCUUAACUCUUGGCUUCAUUCUGGGUUUUUUUGUUUGUUUGUUCUAAAUUCUGUUUGCUCUUCGUUCUGUUUUUUCGUUUGUCCUAAAAGUCAGGUUUAUUAAAAUAUAACUUACAUAGAGUGAAAUUCACCCUCUUUAGGUGUACAGUUCUAUAGUUUUAUAACCACCCAGAUAUAGAGCAUUUGCAUCAAGACAUAGACCAUUUCCAACUGGGUAUGGUGGCACACACCUGUAGUCCCAGCUACUCGGGAGCCUGAGGUGGGAGGAUGGCUUGAGCCCAGGAGUUUGAGGCCGCAGUAAGCUACGAUCAUG